UUUGAGCUCUACCUCUUAACGCCUUUCUCCGGUAUAUUCAACUUCCUCCCACCCUGACUUUCACUUUCCCUUUCUUCUCUCUACAAACCCUAAUUGUCGCCACUACCAACAUCGAUCACCUCAUCCGCCACCACCAUCACGGCUUACCGCAGUCGCCCACCUCAUUACGAUUGUCAAUAUGCUUCAUGGUCAAUGGAGUAUCUCCUGGAGUUUCUCUUCAAGCCUUUGAUUAUCCUUCGACUACUCACUCUUUCUUUGUUGCAAAAGCUAUGGUAUUGAAAUUGUCUCUCAUUCAUGUUGGUAUUGAAAUUAUCACUAAUUCACUUUCUCCAAUGCUCUCUAUUUGUUACAAAAAUGAGAUAUUCAAAUCUAUAAUUUCUUUGCUCACUUUCUAUUGCUAAAUGAUGGCUUUGAAACUCUCUGUUUACAUUUACUUUGAUUUCAUUGUUACUGAUUCUUGUAGGAGGUAUAUUAUGAUUAAGAUUCAAGACAUUGGGAUUGUAAGUUUUCCAUUUUAAAUUAAGAAUAAAAUAGUUCGCUCCCUAAUGGUCUUACUUGUAACAUUUGUUAAUUUGUAGUUGAGUUUUUUUUGGUGGUAGGAUUGUUUCAUGUAUGAGAAACAAUGUCUAGGUUUGAGUAUAAAGGAUUCAAAAUGGAAGGCUUUGAGUGCCCUAAACAUUUAGCAAAUGUUAGUUUUAUGUUUGAUUUCCUGGGUUUUGAUUAUUCUGCUCAUAUCAACACAUGUAGCUAGACGAUGAUGUUCUUGCAAAUAAAUGGUGUUGCCUGAAAACAUUUUGAUGGUAGUUUUGCUGAGUGGGUUUUUAAGGUUCAAGAAUAGUUAAGAAAAGUUUUAGAAGAAAUCAUUUAGAGAGGGAUGAGCAUAUGGAUCGGGGAAUCGGUACCGGAACCCGAUGGAACCGGUCGGGCCGGGAUCGGGAGGUUAUUUUUGUGGAUUUUUGAAACCGAACCGUUAGAACCGGCAAAAACCAGAAUUGUAUGAUGCUAUUUUUCGAGGACCGGUUCCAAUAUUUGAAGACACGACAAGAUCCGGUAGGAACCGGGAACCAGUAGAACCGGCGGUCCGUUCGGUUCCUAUUUUCAAUCAAGUUCGGUUUCCGGGCCGGUUCCAACCGGGUCGGUUCCUUUGCUCAUCCAUAGAUUAUGUAUUGGUCCAAUAAAAAAUAUAUGGAUGAUUAAUAUUAAAUAUCCAUCGGCUAAAAUUUAUUCAUCAAA